rnacentral:tRNA from 1 species
AGCAGGGUCAGCUAACGAAGCUAUCGGGCCCAUACCCCGAAAA